rnacentral:misc_RNA from 1 species
UAAAAGUUCACGAUUCUUCAUAGAAGAAUCACUUUUUCUUUUUUUUUGUAAUAAAAAUUAUGUAUUCUAUUUUAAAAAUUCACUCGAUCGAAAAGAAGAAGCCAAUGUCUCUUCCUGAAAGUAUAGCAGAGGGUGAGAGCAACGAUACCAAUUGUCACAAUUCCUUGAGCCACAACGACAAAGUGAUAGAAGAAAAAAAAAGUGAAGAGAAAGAAGGAAAACCGACGCAAGAAAGUAGUGGAGGGAAUUCGGAUGGUGGCGCAAUCCAAGAGAAACCUAAAGAGAGCAUAGACUUUAAAGUAAUUUACAACAAGCGAAAAAUCGAUGUUAGUUUCGACCUCGAUGGGACAAUCGCCGAUCUCAAGACCUAUCUACAAAAUAUCAUCACAGUGCCAAAAGCUAUGCAAAAAGUUAUGAUUAAAGUUUUAGCUAGAGACGAACAGACUCUGAGAAGUUUAGGAGUUACAAAUGGUACCAAAGUGAUGAUCGUUGGUUCGAAAUUGGACGAUGUAUUAGCCGUUUCGAUUCCAACGAAGCACGAACUUCAAGAUGAAGCUGCAGGGGCUUCGAGCAAAGAGCCUCUAUCACAACAAAAAAUACAUCGAAAAGUUUUAGACAAGGGAAUUCCCGAAGACGCUAUGCCUGGAAUAUUGGAAUCCAACGAACCGUUGCCAAAUUUUCCGUUGUCAGGAAUGCUUAAUAAGUUGGGUGGCAAAGUCAGAUUGACCUUCAAACUCGAACAGGACCAGUUGUGGAUCGGUACGAAGGAAAGAACAGACAAAAUCCCCAUGAACUCUAUCAGGGUUGUUCACACCGAACCCAUUCACGAUCAUCCCGAGUAUCACAUGAUGGCACUACAAUUGGGACCAACCGAUGCUUCAAGAUAUUGGAUAUAUUGGGUACCCGCACAAUACACAAAGGCCAUUAAGGAAGCGAUACUCGGGACGUGGGCUUAUUUCUGAUGAAGAAAAUUCUCACUAAAUGAACAGCUUGAUAAUCCAAGGAGAAGAAGAAGAAAUACAAGAAAUAUGGAAAUUCGAGGCUUGCGAGCAAGACUUGGAUUUCACGACGACAUCGAAGGGAACCACACUGUGCUAGUCACGCUUUUUUUCUCAUAAAAUUAAGUCAUAACUUAUUUUUUCGACCUCGAGAAAAAAUAUUGGAUUAAGCAGGAGAAUUCCGCAAAAACUCUUCUCCUGAAAGCGUGGAUUCAAUAAUCGUUGGCUCUCGCGAUUCAUACGCUCACCUUAAUCCAUCCUCAGACUCUUCUCAUGAGUCUCGAUUCAGAAUUCACAUGCAUCGAUCGACCAGCCUGAUGCGUGCGUAAAUGAACCGCUUUGUUUGGGUUAUUUUCCGAAUUCCGCCGCCGGAAGAAUUCCGAAAAAAGGAAGCCUCUCAGUCGUUGCAGUCGUCGAUGCAGAUUGGAGUAAUUAAAUUUGCAUUGACCAUGAUUCUGUGUUCAUGCGUUGGAUUCCUAUUUACGAACAAUCGUGAGCGAGUCCGCGCAUCAAAAUCGUAGUCCUCGAACGCAGGUUCGUCGUUUCACGUCUUUCUUUCAAUUUUCGUUCCUGGUGAAAACUGGUCAAGUCGAAUUCGGGAAAAUCUGUGAAAAUACUGUCGAUCUUCGUGGCUCUUCAUGGAAGUAAAAACUUUCCAUACGGUGUGGAGAAGGAUUUCUUCAUUGUUGUUUUAUUCUGGAUGACCUGAAGAGUUUUAAGGCGGAAGGAUUCCUCAUGCACACUCCUAUGAGUUGAAAUUCAUCCGAGAUUCAAGACCCUGAAGAAACGAAGUGUAAUUUUUCUAAUUUUCGAUCGCCCAAUAUCCAGAAAAAUUACCAUAAAUUGGAAACACUGAAGUAAGUUAGGUUUUGUAGGACGAGGGAAAAACGAAACUAUUUUUUAUCGAGUGGUUCAGUGAGCAGUGAAAGAAAUUAUUUUACGAUAUUGACCUGGUUGCACCUGAUUUGAUACGACAGUUACAAAUUCCUCAUCGAUUUUCAAGCAGGCCUAAAGCACUCGGAGAAAACUAAGUUUUAGCGAAUUUUCUUCCACAUUUGUUUGUACGAGGUCUGAAUCCGAAGGAGCUUUAAUUCGAAUUAUUUGUUUCUUAUCGGAUAAGCACAAUAUUACAAAUCAUAAAUUAUUUACGCUCGUAAGAUGUAAGUUAGGUAGGUUUUUAUACCGUGUUAAGUACGCGUGUGUGUGCGUGGGUGGGUGCUGCGUGUGCGUGACGAAGGAAUUUCCGUCGAUGUACGAUCACCGAGCAUGCUCGGAGCCCUUUUCGAAAUAGGAUUUUUCGGAUACGCGCGACAACUUGUACGUUAAGGUUAUGCGAUUACAGAUAUUAAAAGUAAUAAAGUGAUUCUAAACAUGCA